CAAAUACUCCCUCCGUCUGGAAAUACUUGUCAUCAAAAUGGGUAAAAGGAAAUGUAUCUAGACGUAUUUUAGUUUUAGAUACAUCUCUUUUUAUCCAUUUUGAUGACAAGUAUUUUCGGACGGAGGGAGUAGAAA
rnacentral:pre_miRNA from 1 species